rnacentral:rRNA from 1 species
CCCUUAGAUGUUCUGGGCCGCACGCGCGCUACACUGAUCGAUUCAACGAGUUUUGAAAUAAUUUUUAUAAUUUUUCAUAUCCUUUGUCGGAAGGCAUGGGUAAUCUUUUAAAUGUCGAUCGUGAUGGGGCUAGAUUCUUGCAAUUAUUAAUCUCCAACGAGGAAUUCCUAGUAAACGCAAGUCAUCAGCUUGCAUUGAUUACGUCCCUGCCCUUUGUACACACCGCCCGUCGCUCCUACCGAUUGAGUGGUCCGGUGAGGCUUUGGGAUCUGAGCGGAAAGAGCGUUUCGCUGUUUCUGCCCGGAAAACUCAGUCGAACCUUAUCAUUUAGAGGAAGGAGAAGUCGUAACA